AUAAGAACCGGCAGAGAGUGGACAAAUAAAGGCUUCAUCCAGAGUCGAGGUAUUUUCAUCCGCCUCAACUUUUGGUGGUUUAUAGGGUUUCAUUAUUAUCGACUUGGAACCACCAUCAUCGACAUGGCCGGAGCUGGAAUCCACCCAUACCACCAGCAGUGGCCGCCUGCAGCUGCUCCUCCUCCUCCACCAGCUGCGGCGGCUGCGCCUCCUCCUCCUCCUGUUCAUCAUCCUUCGCCGGUCCUUGUUGAUAAUAGCAAUCGCGGUCCUACGCACGAUGAGCUUCGAACAAUAUUCAUAACGGGUCUUCCUGAAGACGUGAAGGAGAGAGAACUGCAGAACUUAUUGAGAUGGCUACCAGGUUAUGAGGCUUCACAAGUGAACUUCAAGGGAGAAAAGCCUAUGGGUUUUGCUCUUUUCUCCACUGCCCAGCUUGCUAUUGCUGCAAAAGAUGCCCUUCAGGACAUGGUAUUUGAUGCGGAGUCUAAGUCAGUGUUGCAUACAGAGAUGGCAAAGAAGAAUCUAUUUGUGAAAAGAGGAAUAGUGGCUGAUUCUAGUGUGUAUGAUCAAAGUAAACGUUUGAGAACUGGUGGUGACUAUUCUCAUAGUGCUUAUACAGCUCCCUCCCCAUUCCACCCUCCUCCUGCCCCCGUUUGGGGACCACAUGGGUACAUGGCCCAUGCUCCACCUCCAUAUGAUCCAUAUGGAGGCUAUCCUGUUCCUCAGGUACCAAUGCCGACCCCUGCACCAAUGCCAGCUCCUAGCAGUUAUGUACCUGUUCAGAAUACAAAAGAUAAUCCUCCUUGUAAUACCUUAUUUAUUGGUAAUCUUGGAGAGAACAUCAAUGAGGAAGAAGUGAGGGGUCUAUUCAGCGUGCAGCCUGGAUUUAAGCAAAUGAAAAUUUUGAGACAAGAAAGACAUACUGUUUGUUUUAUUGAAUUUGAAGUAAGUUACCUGAUAUUGAUCAGCACAAGUGCUGAGGGCUGUGGCUUUGAUUUUUCAAUUUUUUUCUCUCUUCAGCGUGUUGGACCUUAUAUAAUUUUAAGUUCUCGUUUGGUGAAUUCUAAGAGUUUGUUACCAAAAUUUACAGGAUGUGAACAGUGCAACCAAUGUGCACCUUAGUUUUCAAGGUGCUGUUAUCCCAAGCUCUGGUUCUGUUGGCAUGCGAAUACAAUAUUCGAAGAACCCUUUUGGUAAGAGGAAAGAUGGAAGUCACGCUGCUGCUUCUCCCAGUGCCAAUGGAGCUCCACCAGCUAUCACCUACCAGUAGCUAGAAGGGGAUGUACUCUGAUCCUUAUGCACCAAGAAUACAUGAUAGGAUGCAUCUUGCAGCUGUUGCAUGCAUCCAUUUCAUCAUCAACAUCAGCAUUAGCAUCUCUUCUCAUGUGCAUGAGUGCACACAAUGCUAUCAUGAACGCAGCAUCUGUUCAUGUUAUACUAAUAUCUCCGGGACAUGCAUCUGUCAGCACCACAUGUUGAUGUGUGGAUAACCUAAUAGGGCAGAUCUAUUUACUAUUUGAAGAAGUGGUGCAUGGCAGCUUUUUGGUCAAUUUUUUUUUUCAUGCGUGUUUGAUUCUUUUAUGCCUCUUACUCGUAUUCUACAUCAAUAUUAGGGAUGAUGCUUAUCUGGAUAGACAUCUUUCUACUUGUGCAAUUGUCAUGAUUUACAUUUCAUUACAUAACAUGGCAUCCCAAGGCAGUUGAGACUUCCAUUUCAUGACAAAGUGUUUAACAAGGCAUCAAUCAUGUAUUCUUAGACAUAACCACCAUCAACAUGUCUCAACUCUGCUCCAUGAACUGAAUCAAUCUUCCCUCCAUCUGUUGAGCAAAAAACUAUCACUGUGGUUAAGCAUUCAGAUAGUUGAAAGCAUAAUAAUCGGAAAGAUGUUGCGGAAAUAUAUGCCAUUAUGAUUUAUGUGCAGGCUUCUCUGUACAAAAGUCAAGAAGCUUCCAUUCGGACAUCAACUGGUGCUGCGGCUGCAUUUAAUAUCUGCAAACAAUCAGAUGAGAUGGGGGAGCUUGAGAUUGCAAUGAUGAGGGAGGUUAGUUGGCUCGUAAUGUCUACCAUCAUCUUAUUGAUGCUUCUACGUGGUUGGUACUUUUGGGUCAAAAUCUUUAUGGUGCCAUUCGAUAAAUUGGAGUAGAGAAGCAGUGGGCGAGGGAAAGAUGUCAUAGCAAGGGGAUAUAGUUUCAUCAGUAGACAAAUACCAAGUGGGUCUGUCUACAGCAAGUCCACUUUACUCUAAAAAGAGUACUCCAUUAGCUGUUUUGUUUUUCUAUGGUACUGACCCAAAUUGAACAGCACUAUUGUUACAAUAAUGUGGGCUAAUUUGUUUCUUUUUUUAA